AGUGAACGCUGGCGGUAGGCCUAACACAUGCAAGUCGAACGGCAGCACAGUAAGAGCUUGCUCUUACGGGUGGCGAGUGGCGGACGGGUGAGGAAUACAUCGGAAUCUACUUUUUCGUGGGGGAUAACGUAGGGAAACUUACGCUAAUACCUCAUACGUCCUACGGGUGAAAGCAGGGGAGCUUCGGACCUUUCGCGUUAGUAUGAGCCGAUGUCGGAUUAGCUAGUUGGCGGGGUAAAGGCCCACCAAGGCGACGAUCCGUAGCUGGUCUGAGAGGAUGAUCGGCCACACUGGAACUGAGACACGGUCCAGACUCCUACGGGAGGCAGCAGUGGGGAAUAUUGGACAAUGGGCGCAAGCCUGAUCCAGCCAUACCGCGUGAGUGAAGAAGGCCUUCGGGUUGUAAAGCCCUUUUGUUGGGAAAGAAAAGCAGCAGGUUAAUACCCCGCUGUUCUGACGGUACCCAAAGAAUAAGCACCGGCUAACUUCGUG
rnacentral:rRNA from 1 species